AGCGGCGUGUCCCCUCCGGCUCGCCGUACCAGGAGGCGGGGUUUUGUUUUCAAUACACGGGCCGCCGCCAUGUUAGACUUUCCGCUAGCGCCGAGUAGCUCCGGUGCUUGGCUCGUGUCCGAGUUUGACUGUGUCUUGCCAAGAGAACAGAGCAGGAUUUGGUUCGGGGCGGAGCGGUCAAGGGAGGUUAUUCUUUAACACAGCAGCUCUCAACCUUUCCAGACUGCGGUACCCCCUUUCAGGAGUCCUGAUUUGUCUUGUGUUACCCCCAAGUUUCACCUGACUUAAAAACAGCUUGCUUACAAAAUCAGAUAUAAAAAUGCUGAAGUGCUACAGCCACUGUUACUGUAAAAUUGCUGCCUUUCUCAUUUUUACCCUGUAAUUAUAAAAAUAAAUCAUUUGGAAGAUAAA